rnacentral:rRNA from 1 species
GUAUUGGCUUACCGUGGCAGUGACGGUUAACGGGGGAUUAGGGUUCGAUUCCGGAGAGGGAGCCUGAGAAACGGCUACCACAUCUAAGGAAGGCAGCAGGCGCGCAAAUUACCCAAUUCUAACAGUUUGAGAGAGGUAGUAACAAGAAAUAACAAUACAAGGCAAUUAAAAUGCUUUGUAAUUGGAAUGAUAGAAAUUUAAACCCUUUUUAAAGUAUCAAUUGGAGGGCAAGUCUGGUGCCAGCAGCCGCGGUAAUUCCAGCUCCAAUAGCGUAUAUUAAAAUUGUUGCAGUUAAAAAGCUCGUAGUUGAAGUUCUGCUAAAAGUAACCGGUCUGCUUUUAAUAAAAGUGGUAUCUUGGUGUGUAUUUAGCAAUGAUGUCCUUUGAAGUGUUUUUUACUUUAUUGUAAUAAAGCAUAUUCAGGACUUUUACUUUGAGAAAAUUAGAGUGUUUCUAGCAGGCCGACGCUUU